UCAGGGCUUGGGACUUCUGGCUGGAGAGCAGGAGUUACAAACACCCUGAACCUUGCUCCUUUUGGCUGGGGGCUGAAUGCAGCUGCAUAGCAAAGAUUCCUUCCCUGAGCCUGCCUGUCCCUGGGAUUAAACAAAGGAAUUUCAGUAAGGCACAGGUAUCUCUCAGGCUCCAUCCCAGGGAUGCAGGCAAUGACACAUGGCUGCUGCUGCAAGAGAAGGAGCUGGAUCAACAGGAAACCCCCCCUUGGCUUCUCCCUUGCUAUCAUCCCCAAGAGACAAUUCCUGCUUGGAAGGCACAGGGAGCCGGGCUUGGGACACUGCUGGAGGCACUUGGG